CGUUGAUUACGUCCCUGCCCUUUGUACACACCGCCCGUCGCUACUACCGAUUGAAUGGCUCAGUGAGGCUUUCGGACUGGCCCAGGGAGGUCGGCAACGACCACCCAGGGC
rnacentral:rRNA from 1 species